rnacentral:tRNA from 1 species
GGCCUUGUAGCUUAGUGGUAAAGCACUAGUUAUAUUGUAACUAGAGAUCAGUGGUUCGAUUCCACCCAAGGCCU